rnacentral:rRNA from 1 species
UUGCACGCUGGCGGCAGGCCUCACACAUGCCAGUCGAGCGGAUGAAGGGAGCUUGCUCCUGGAUUCAGCGGCGGACGGGUGAGUAAUGCCUAGGAAUCUGCCUGGUAGUGGGGGAUAACGUCCGGAAACGGGCGCUAAUACCGCAUACGUCCUGAGGGAGAAAGUAGGGGAUCUUCGGACCUCACGCUAUCAGAUGAGCCUAGGUCGGAUUAGCUAGUUGGUGGGGUAAAGGCCUACCAAGGCGACGAUCCGUAACUGGUCUGAGAGGAUGAUCAGUCACACUGGAACUGAGACACGGUCCAGACUCCUACGGGAGGCAGCAGUGGGGAAUAUUGGACAAUGGGCGAAAGCCCGAUCCAGCCAUGCCGCGUGUGUGAAGAAGGUCUUCGGAUUGUAAAGCACUUUAAGUUGGGAGGAAGGGCAGUAAGUUAAUACCUUGCUGUUUUGACGUUACCAACAGAAUAAGCACCGGCUAACUUCGUG